AGGUGAGAUUGGGUGGCAGAAGCCAGGAUGGAGCAGGAAACACAGUGGGAGAGGAAGUGGAGCAGGUGAACAGCUUUCUUUCCAGGGCAGCUCUUGUCACAAAAUAUAUGACAAAAGCAGGAAGAGUCAACAUGCUAACCCAACAGGCCAUGGGUUGGAACUGAAGAAAGAGGGAUAACCUUCAUCAAGCGUUAGCCCACAGAUACAUCAAAAUCACAGAUAGGGUAGAGGUGGAAGCUGUCAACCUCAGGAGCAUCAAGCAGCAGCACAACCUGGAUCAGGAGACCACAGAGCAGUGGGUGUGUGAUGUCAGGCAGUGGGCAUUAACAGACAGAGUCUACACUCCAGGGUGCACUGAAGACCUCAGGGCUGAAAUUGAAAACUUAACAGUAACCCUUUUGCGCAAGAAGCAAGACCUGUAUUGUCAGCAUGAUAGCAACCAGACAAGACAGAGAAAAAGAGACAAUGACACAGCUGAAGAUGAAGCUUCGUGAUCUGGUCUCGCAGUACAACGUCACCGUGGAAACAGAUCAGAUUGACGAGGAGUUGGCGUGCAGUCUGACAGAGGGCUA